AAUGAACGCUGGCGGCGUGUCUUAAGCAUGCAAGUCGUGCGGCAAGGGUAGCAAUACCCCUAGAGCGGCGGACUGGUGAGUAACGCGUGGGUGAUCUGCCCUUGGGUUGGGGAUAGCCAUUAGAAAUAGUGGGUAAUACCGAAUACGAUGACGAGACUGUGGUCUUGUCAUGAAAGGCGCUUCGGCGCCACCCGAGGAUGAGCCCGCGUCCCAUUAGCUAGUUGGUGAGGUAACGGCCCACCAAGGCGAUGAUGGGUAGGCGGCCUGAGAGGGUGUACGCCCAAACUGGGUCUGAGAUACGGCCCAGACUCCUACGGGAGGCAGCAGCUAAGAAUAUUCCGCAAUGGACGAAAGUCUGACGGAGCGACGCAGCGUGGAUGACGAAGGCCGAAAGGUUGUAAAAUCCUUUUGUUGGGGAAGAAUAAGGCUGGGAGGGAAUGCCCGGCUGAUGACAUGAACCGACGAAUAAGUCCCGGCUAACUACGUGCCAGCCGCCGCAGUAA
rnacentral:rRNA from 1 species